ACCACCACCACCACCACUCUCAGCUGCAUGAUUAGGCAUCCACAUGUUUUUCUGGAUGUGGGGAGAUAACAUCAUGAUUAUCCUGCCACAAUUCGGGUGGAUACGAUAAGGACAACUUUGAACGGGAUCCUCGCAUAGCCGGCAUUGUGGUGGUGUGAUAUUCAAGGGUUUUUGCGAUUAUAUUUUGUUCGAAAGCCCGGAGAGAUCAACACCAUUCACUGCGCUGUGUCCGAAUGGAUCCCGCGGUGCUGAUCUUCCUCCUGUAUGUCAUGAUCGCGCACGAGCUUGUCUGCGGUUUGAUGCAAUACCGCAGACAGUCCGCCAAGCCGCGUGGACGGAGUGGACCCAUGUUGUGCACGAGUAUCGCAGUGUACCCCGGGACCUGGAAGAGCAGCACCCUGGCCGUUAGGACGGGGAGAGGGGGUAGAGACCUCAGGAAGACUGGGAGGAUUGUAAGAAAGGCCUGAAAGCUGGAACUCCAUAAACAUAUAUGACAUUCUUGAUUUUGGACAUUUUGAAAGUGUUGUGUUCCCUAAUGGAUGAAUGGAAUAAAGGUUGAACCUGAAAUAAAACCAGAAUUGUUGCCUAAAUGUAUACGAUAUAGCCUAGUAUUUAUGAGUCCGUCAACAACAUACGUUAACCACAUAUAGAGAAGUAGGCUUUGCGUUGCCUAUCUCAAUGCAACCUGAUGUAUAGGUCAAUUGUGUUUUAUUUAUUUUAUCUCUUCGUAAAUGUUUGUUUGAUUGAGUGUUGUUUCUGUUUGGGUGUUAUAAUUCACAGGGAAACAACUGAAGCAAAACCGCCGGUUUACGAAGGCUGGCUUGUUCUGUAAUGUUUCAUUGUUCUAUUUUCCUGUGUCUUUAAAGCACUGUUCAGUUGUAGCGCUCCUAACUGUGAUGUAUUCUGAACAAUGACAUAAAGGCUUUCUAUUCUA